rnacentral:rRNA from 1 species
CCCUCCCUCUUCCUUCCUGCCUAACACAUGCAAGUCGAACGAGACCUUCGGGUCUAGUGGCGCACGGGUGCGUAACGCGUGGGAACCUGCCCUUAGGUUCGGAAUAACUCCCCGAAAGGGGUGCUAAUACCGGAUAAUGUCUUCGGACCAAAGAUUUAUCGCCUUUGGAUGGGCCCGCGUUGGAUUAGCUAGUUGGUAGGGUAAAAGCCUACCAAGACGACGAUCCAUAGCUGGUCUGAGAGGAUGAUCAGCCACACUGGGACUGAGACACGGCCCAGACUCCUACGGGAGGCAGCAGUGGGGAAUAUUGGACAAUGGGCGAAAGCCUGAUCCAGCAAUGCCGCGUGAGUGAUGAAGGCCUUAGGGUUGUAAAGCUCUUUUACCCGGGAUGAUAAUGACAGUACCGGGAGAAUAAGCUCCGGCUAACUCCGUG